ACGCUGGCGGCGUGCCUAACACAUGCAAGUCGAACGAGGUCCAUCCUUCGGGAGAAGACCUAGUGGCGAACGGGUGAGUAACACGUGAGGAACCUGCCCCGGAGACCGGGAUAACCACUCGAAAGAGUGGCUAAUACCGGAUGCCCCCAUCCUGCCGCAUGACGGGAUGAGGAAAUGGAUUCCGCUCCGGGAGGGCCUCGCGGCCUAUCAGCUAGUUGGUGAGGUAACGGCUCACCAAGGCAUCGACGGGUAGCUGGUCUGAGAGGACGAUCAGCCACACUGGGACUGAGACACGGCCCAGACUCCUACGGGAGGCAGCAGUGGGGAAUCUUGCGCAAUGGGCGAAAGCCUGACGCAGCAACGCCGCGUGGGGGAUGAAGGCUCUCGGGUUGUAAACCCCUUUCAGCAGGGACGAAAAUGACGGUACCUGCAGAAGAAGCUCCGGCUAACUACGUG
rnacentral:rRNA from 1 species